UACGAAGGGGGCUAGCGUUGCUCGGAAUCACUGGGCGUAAAGCGCACGUAGGCGGCUUUUUAAGUCAGGGGUGAAAUCCUGGAGCCCAACUCCAGAACUGCCUUUGAUACUGAGAAGCUUGAGUCCGGGAGAGGUGAGUGGAACUGCGAGUGUAGAGGUGAAAUUCGUAGAUAUUCGCAAGAACACCAGUGGCGAAGGCGGCUCACUGGCCCGGUACUGACGCUGAGAUGCGAAAGCGUGGGGAGCAAACAGG
rnacentral:rRNA from 1 species